GCCAUUGUAGCUCAGUGGUAGAGCACUUCCUUGGUAAGGAAGGGGGCAUGGGUUCAAUUCCCAUCAAUGGCUCUA
rnacentral:tRNA from 1 species